rnacentral:pre_miRNA from 1 species
GUCGCUAACCAUUACCGAGGGCUUCUGCCCUUCGGUAAUUACCGAGGGCCAUUCGGUAUUUACCGAAGGCCGAAAGCCCUCGAAAAUUACCGAAGGGCAGAAGCCCUCGGUAAUGGUUAGCGACAA